AGUUUCCAUCUUUUUCCUCCUCUUCUCCAUUGAAACAUCACCCAACCAUUAAAGCUCUAGUCUUGUUGAAGGAGAAACCAUUGUUGAAGGAUUGUGGUGUUUUCUCAACCUAUUUUUCUGUUCUCAAAAGGAUCCAAGAUCUGUGAGUGCAUUAGAUUCUAUUUGUGGUGUGGACCCUUGUCAUACCGAGUUCGAGUCGGAGGGGCAUACGGGUACAUGUUCAAGUAACCCAGGGGUCGAGAUCUCUAGCGGCAAGAGGCCGGAGCUUAGUUGAUAUUUCUGCCUAUGAUAUUUAUGUUUGGAUGUUGGAUGAUAUUUGUUGCUGUUAUGCUAUUAGUUUCGUGUUAUGGAUUUUGAGCUGAGACUCUGUUUAUUAUGUUACUAUUUGGUGAGCAUGGGGAUUGUCCAUGCCACAUUGACUUGGCUUUACGUUUUUAGU